rnacentral:rRNA from 1 species
CCCCCCGUCACCUGGAGUGAAAGGCGAGGUAGUCCCACAAAAAGGAACUCAAAGUGAGCCGAAAGGGGAAGUGAACAAGGUCCCUUGAGUCCGCCGUAACAAAAAAAAUGGGAGGGGGAUCGAUCCUUUGGCCCCGGUAAGAAUAGGAUUCCGCUGGGAAUCGGCCCGAAGGGUUAAACUCAAGAAAUUGACGGGACCCCGCCCAAGCAGCGAAGCAUGUGGUUAAAUUGACGCAACGCAAAAACCUUACACAGGCCUGACAUCAAGUGAAAGUCCAAGAGAUUGGACCUUCCUUCGGAACACAAAGACAGGUGCUGCAUGGUUGUCGUCAGCUCGUGUCGUAAGAUGUUAGGUUAAGUCCUGCAACGAGCGCAACCUUCAUAUACAGUUGCCAUCAUUCAGUUGGGAACUCUGAAUAGACUGCCGUGGUUAACACGAAGAAAGGUGGGAAUGACGUCAAAUCAUCACGGCCCUUACGGCCUGGGCUACACACGUGCUACAAUGGCUAUUACAAAGAGUUGCAAUAUGGUAACAUGAAGCGAAUCUCAAAAAGAUAGUCUCAGUUCGGACUGUGGGCUGCAACCCGCCCACACGAAGUCGAAGUUGCUAGUAAUCCCGAAUAAGCAUGUCGGGGUGAAUGCGUUCCCGGGUCUUGUACACACCGCCCGUCAAGCCAUGGAAGUCGGAAGUGCCCGAAGUCGGUGACCUAACCGAAAGAAAGAAGCCGCAUAAGGUAAUACCAAUGACUGGGGUUAAGUCGUAACAAGG